UGAGGAAUAUUGGACAAUGGAUGGAAAUCUGAUCCAGCCAUGCCGCGUGCAGGAAGACUGCCCUAUGGGUUGUAAACUGCUUUUGUAUGGGAGCAAUAAGCCCUUCGUGAAGGGUGAUGAGAGUACCAUACGAAUAAGCAUCGGCUAACUCCGUGCCAGCAGCCGCGGUAAUACGGAGGAUGCAAGCGUUAUCCGGAUUUAUGGGUUUAAAGGGUGCGUAGGCGGUUGGAUAAGUCAGCGGUGAAAGUUUUCUGCUUAAACAGGAAAAAUGCCGUUGAUACUGUCUGGCUAGAAUAUGGUUGCUGUGAGUGGAAUGUGUGGUGUAGCGGUGAAAUGCUUAGAUAUCACACAGAAUAUCGAUUGCGAAGGCAGCUCACAAAGCCAUUAUUGACGCUGAGG
rnacentral:rRNA from 1 species